rnacentral:rRNA from 1 species
UAGAGUUUGAUCCUGGCUCAGAUUGAACGCUGGCGGCAGGCCUAACACAUGCAAGUCGAGCGGUAACAGAUUGAUAGCUUGCUAUCAAUGCUGACGAGCGGCGGACGGGUGAGUAAUGCCUGGGAAUAUGCCUCAGUGUGGGGGAUAACUAUUGGAAACGAUAGCUAAUACCGCAUAAUCUCCGAUCUUUUACGAGAUGGGAGCAAAGCGGGGGACCUUCGGGCCUCGCGCGCUGAGAUUAGCCCAGGUGGGAUUAGCUUGUUGGUGAGGUAAUGGCUCACCAAGGCAACGAUCCCUAGCUGGUCUGAGAGGAUGAUCAGCCACACUGGAACUGAGACACGGUCCAGACUCCUACGGGAGGCAGCAGUGGGGAAUAUUGCACAAUGGGGGAAACCCUGAUGCAGCCAUGCCGCGUGUAUGAAGAAGGCCUUCGGGUUGUAAAGUACUUUCAGUUGUGAGGAAGGCGUUGGAGUUAAUAGCUUCAACGUUUGACGUUAGCAACAGAAGAAGCACCGGCUAACUCCGUGCCAGCAGCCGCGGUAAUACGGAGGGUGCGAGCGUUAAUCGGAAUUACUGGGCGUAAAGCGCAUGCAGGUGGUCUGUUAAGCAAGAUGUGAAAGCCCGGGGCUCAACCUCGGAACAGCAUUUUGAACUGGCAGACUAGAGUACUGUAGAGGGGGGUAGAAUUUCA